rnacentral:tRNA from 1 species
AUAUUUAAAAUAUAAUUAUUUAAAUAGUAAUAUUUUUAUAAUAUUUAAAUAAUAAUUUAAACUUAUUAAAUAAG